AACGAACGCUGGCGGCAGGCCUAACACAUGCAAGUCGAGCGAGAUCUUCGGAUCUAGCGGCGGACGGGUGAGUAACGCGUGGGAACGUACCCUUUGCUACGGAAUAGCCUCGGGAAACUGGGAGUAAUACCGUAUGUGCCCUUCGGGGAAGGAUUAUCGGCAAGGAUCGGCCCGCCGUUGGAUAGGUAGUUGGUGGGGUAAUGGCCUACCAAGCCGACGAUCCAUAGCUGGUUUGAGAGGAUGAUCAGCCACACUGGGACUGAGACACGGCCCAGACUCCUACGGGAGGCAGCAGUUAAGAAAUCUUGCUCAAAUGGGGGGAAACCCGUAGAAGCAGCGACGCCGCGUGAACG
rnacentral:rRNA from 1 species